UGAAAGAAUUAAUCAUUUAUUUUACGCAGCAUAAAAUCUGAUUUUUUACAUAGUGUUUAUCUGAAAAUGGCAAGACCUGAAAAUACAAAGUAUCAAUUUUUGGAAAAUUGAGUAAUGAGGCUUGACAGUAAGUGGGAUAGAGAUCCUAAAGUAACCUGAAGAUUGUAUUAGAAAGACUAUACCCCUUUGUUCCAAAGUUUGAUCCCAUUUUCUUUUCAGUCAAUGUUAAAAACAUUGUCUAAUAAAAACAAAACAAAACAACAGCUGAAGAAAUGCCUCUGUAAGUUGACCUUACAGGUGAAAUCCUCUCCACACUUCCUGAAUAACAUAACAGUUAUUGUAGUUUUAAAAGCCUUAAAAGAUGUCUGCAUCUCCAUAUAAAAUUUGCAAUAAAAAAUUUUUAUAUGCAAACUGUCUGCUUUCAGGUAAGUCUUAAACACUGAACUUUGUAUAGUCUAUGCACACACAGAAUACUGGCUACCAAAGCAAUUGUUUCCAUAUUGCAAUAAUCCACACCUUUGUGCUAUCAAGAAAUUGUUAGUUGUCUUUUUGUUACCUCUAAACUCCAUUUUUUUUUUUACCACAGAAUUUUUCCAAAGGACAACCAUGCUACAAAUACAGCCAUUUAAACAUUCAGCUCUACAAUCCCUCUCUGAAAACACAGGAAUAAACAUGCCUUUUUUAGGUUUGACUUGGCCCUGUGAAAAUUUCCUUCAUCAGAGGGGGACGAGAUGAGAGGAUUGUGACAAACAAUGUCCUUUAUUCAAGUGUUUUGCCUAAAUACACGUUGCUGUAAAAUCAGAGCAAACUCAGUUGCUCAGCUGGAGUGGUUUUUAGGACAAAAAAAAGUCAUGGAUGGAGCUCUAACAGCUCCUUGUGGUUCUCCUCUCCACCUCUGUGCUUCCUGAGGAUGGAGGAAAAAGAGAAUAUGCAGGACCAGGGAGCAUUUCCAAGGGGGAUGUGAAAGAAAUCCAGGGAACAAAAUCAAAUGCACAAAGGAGUUCUUGGCACAUGGUAAAAUUCAGGGACCAUCGGCACAGGUAAAGUUCUGGCUCCAAUUCUUCUCCUACUGGCACUGCAAAUAUUUUCAACCUACAGUUAUUUUUUAAAGCAUUAAGGAACUACUUUAAAACAGGUCUGUGAAUGGCAAACAAGAAAAACGUAUCUUUUGUUAGAAAGCUGAAAUUGGGAAAUGAAGACCCUAAUCUUUUAGCAACUCUAUUGGGAGGGGAAAUGAGAAGGGGUGAAUGGCCUACAAGACAAAUCAGACAAAUCAGAUUUAGAGCCAGUGAAUAAGUAAGACAGCAACUAUACUAAAAUAUAUUUAAGUGAUGGUUAUCAAUUCAAAAAACAAAAAAAAGGAAGAGAACACUUUUUGAGGGCUACUUCUUUUUAAAUUCUACAAAUUACCUUUUGUGUUUUACCUUUUGGCUAGCUCAAAAGAAAUUCUGUGUGUGCCUUCAUGGUCUAAUCUAAAAUUCCCAGUAUUUCAAAUACUACACCAGGCAGAUACAAACCAUUGUUAUGUUACUACUGCACAGUCAUUGGUGUCAGCAGGUUUUAUGAUUUCCUGUCCUGCUGCUUCCAAAUGCCACUGCUGGGGGUGAGAAACAGCAUUGAGCCCCAUGGAGAGGGGAAUAUUCAGCAGCUGGGCAAUGAUCCUCCCUAAAGAUGAUUGUGUCCUGUGUUCACCUGGGAGGGGAUAAUUCCCAGGAGCACCAAAAGGCACCUUGGAGUGCUGGUUUCCAAAAUAUUCAGGCAGGUGGACUCUUGCCAAAGGAAAUGGGGACUGUUGGAUGUUGCACCUACAGCAGCUGCUGUCUUUCUGUGGCUUUUGUGUUUUGGAUCCAUCUCACCCAGGGGUUUGGCUGAAGCCAAGUAUUUCUGCUAGCAUUCCCAAAGAGCCAUAACCAGGAUUACUCAAAAGCCUGGAUUAGCAUCUAAUUAAGCCUCAAAAGCCAGCAAAUCUAACUGGCUCAGAAGAUUGCUCAUAUCCUGUUACCAACCUGUCUUCACUUCUCUCAACAGCAGCAAGGACUUCAGUAGUCAGAAAUGAACAAUUUAUCAAUCAGAGAGUCAAGUUUGACAGGAACUAAUGUCUUGGUAAAAAGUACAGCCUUUUCUGAAAAGGAUUAAUCUGUUAUGCUUUUGCAAUUUUUAAUGAAGCUAAAGGCAUCCUGUUUAUUUUUCUUUCUGUAAUUCCCUUUAAUUGCACCUCCAUAGGUCACUGUACCAACACCCUUCAUUACACCGCUCCUAUUGCUAUUUAUAUUUGUGUCUGAGGCGAGGAUAUGACAAGCAAGAACAGCCCAGUUUUUGGAAACCCCUAUGGAAAUCAAAGCAACUUCCAGCAGCACAUCCGUUUUUUAAUAUUGGAAAAUUUAAGGAUCUGUCUUCCUUCUCCCUGGAACUGCAGUGCUAUGCAACUCUCAGGAGCCUUUUAAUAUUUAAAAGGAAAAGCUUGGUAGACAAAUGGCUCAUCCUUCAGUAAGACAAAGCCAGCCAAUACACAGCAGGGAACUGGAUCAACUCAUAGGUUGAUUUUCACUGAUGAAUUUUACAGCUGUUGAGCACAGGAGAUAGCAAAACCCCUUGACACAUUGCAUUUAGGUUGAUUCAACAUGCACAUCCUAAACACAAUCCUUCACCUUAAAAACAGAACAAUCCCCUCCAUGUAACUUUUACAGCACCUGAACAAAAACCUUAUUAAAAUGCUUCAUCUGUUUCCCUCAGCAUUUAAAUUGUACCAAAACCCCCAUGACAAUAUUUCUAAAACUUGCGAAGGCAGCGGGAUAGAAUUAACCUAUUCCCAGGGCUGGGCUCAGGUUUAACCACUGGAACUCAAACCACACCCCCUCAAAUCCCUGGCAUGGCACCGAUGGUUUCAAAUCACCUGCGAGGCUGCAGCCAGGGCAAUGCAGCUUUCUGACACUUUCCUGGGACGUGGUGUUACAUUCCCACCAGGGGAGAGCUGGGUCAGCAAGAAAUAUUGAUAUUUCUCACAAGGGAUGGUUUGGAAUGCUGUGAUUUGGAGCAUCCUGUCUCUCAUAAUAAAUAAAGGAUAUUUUUUCUGUAUCAUCUUUAUUCAAUGCUCUGUUGGUUUUUUUUUUUUUCACUCCUCUUCCAUUUUUUCUUUUCCUUAAGGUGUGGUUUAUUCUUACACCUGAAGUUGGUUAACAGGAGCAUAAUAUAUCUCACAACAUAUAUAUUUUUGAAAUACAUCAAGGAAAGAGAUCACUAUGACUUACCAAGUGACUACACUUGGUUGUAGUGUAGUCUAUCACUGUGCUUCAUCUUCCAUACAAAACUGCUCGAGAGCAUUAUUUUUCUUAAUGUGUUGUAGGCUAAAAAUGAACCCUCAAGGGUCUCCAUUGCUCUCCUUGUUGCCAGAGCAACAAAGCAAUGCUCACCUGAAUUUCUGCCAUGGUAAGUAUCAAUUUACAAGCCCAGAUGAAGUUUGUGCUGCUCGCAGGUGUCACUCACAGCAUUUUUACUACAAGCCACAUUUCUAGUGGGAAGGAAUGCCAGAAAAACUCAAGAAUAUAUCAGUAUUUCUACUUGGUUAUUGUUCCUCUUAAUUGAAGUGUUUCCCUUAAAAUAUCUUGACCAAGGACAUUCAAAGGGAAAGGGUAAUACUUAAAUCUUCUAUAUGAAAUCCAGUGCACUAUGAAGACUGUUCACCAACUCAGAAGAAACCUCUUUAAAAAUCCUACUCAGAAUCUUUCCCAAGAAAUUCCUUCCUAAAACUCUUUGUGGCGAGGAGAUCGGAGGUUCUGAGGUGAGGGCAGAAGUGAUGAAACUUUUUAACAGCAUACAAGUUGUUUUCACUUUCUGAAUUGAAAAAGGGUUUAUUGUUGAACACUAUCCAUCCAAAAUCCAUACAGUGUUUCUGUUUGAAACAAGUGACAGAAGCAUAACUUCUAUUGCCAUACUGUAGGAAAAGGAGGAAUACAACUCUGAAGUUAUUUGUUAUGUGUAAAACCAAAGCCAGGAGGACGACGUGGAACUCUUAGUUAAAAGAUAUUAAUAAAGAGACAUGGAAAAUAGAACACUGAGAAAACAAUUAAGCUCUAUGGCUUAUUUAAUGGAAUUCACAAUUUUUCUCCUCUUAGAAACUAAGAGGCAGAGGAGAAAGGAGACAAGCUCAAAAGUCCUUCCUGUCUCCAACUCAAAUUCCACGAGAAAUCAUUUUCAGACGUUGGAUCACAGCAUCAAGUAUUUUACUCUACCGAGCCAAGCAAUCUGAAAGUGCAAGAAUUGAAAAGAAAACCACAGGCACUUCCAGUUAUGACGUGAAAGACAUAAGUUAGUUAAAUAAAAAGCCCCCACAGUGUUUUAUUUUCACACACAUGACGUGCACCUCUGUAAAUGCACAACUCCUGAAAAACAAAAUAAAUCUUUCCUUAUUCCAUGCAGAGUCAGAUGCAAAGGCAGAGUGAAUCACAGAGCUAUAUGAAGGGAUUUUGGGCAGAAAAUUGUCUAGGCAAGGGAUUGAGAAAUUCAGAGCUAAGCUUUUUUUUUUUUUUCUCAUUUCCCAUACAGAUAUACAAACUGCUCUGCUAUCAAAAUGAAAAUGAAUAUUUUUUUUUCUUUUUUUUAAUGUAUUAAAAAAUCCUCAGCCUUGCACUGUUUCUCUUCCCAAUCCAAACACUUAGGCCAGUGUUACAGAGAAGCCUGCAACUAGAGAAAAGAAAAAGUGUCCUAUCUGCAAAGAAAACACCUCGUUCUGACUUCAGCAUGAUGAUCUGCACUUGCAGAAUGGAAGCCUGGUCAAAUACAUCCUCCCCUGCUCUCUCCCACUAUUGUUUCCAGUCCCACCACGUGUUUGUUUUCAGCCAGGCAGGACACACACACUUUUCAUUUGAUUGAUGCCAAAUUGAACACCUCAAGCUGAAAACAAGCCAGCACAAAGACUUUCACUUCACAGCCUGUCCAUAAAGACAGAUACUUCUCCUUUGAAUUUCUAGGUUGCUGAGCUCAGCCAAAUUAAAAAAGUUGUUAUACUUAUUUUGUUUUCUUUCUAUUACAUGCUCUCUAGAAAUACAGCAGAACACAGACCUUGCUGUCUUGUCUGUCCAUACAUAUGCAGAUCAGCCUUUUCUAAAUAUCAAACUCGAAAAAAAACCAACAAAACCCCACACGAGAGGGGGGGAAACUGAAAGGUUUCUCUUUUUUUCUCUUUUUUUUUUUUUUUUUUUUUUUUUUUUUGUGCACCAAAGCGGAAAGUCAUGAAGUAUUGAUUUUUAUAAAAUCCCAAAAAAUUCAAAGCCAAGUAGUUCCAUUUGGUUGUAUGGAGCAUCCUUUGUGCUUCAAGACCAGUUCUAAUCCACACACUC
ensembl:lncRNA